rnacentral:rRNA from 1 species
GAUGAACGCUGGCGGCGUGCCUAAUACAUGCAAGUCGAGCGAACGGACGAGAAGCUUGCUUCUCUGAUGUUAGCGGCGGACGGGUGAGUAACACGUGGAUAACCUACCUAUAAGACUGGGAUAACUUCGGGAAACCGGAGCUAAUACCGGAUAAUAUUUUGAACCGCAUGGUUCAAAAGUGAAAGACGGUCUUGCUGUCACUUAUAGAUGGAUCCGCGCUGCAUUAGCUAGUUGGUAAGGUAACGGCUUACCAAGGCAACGAUGCAUAGCCGACCUGAGAGGGUGAUCGGCCACACUGGAACUGAGACACGGUCCAGACUCCUACGGGAGGCAGCAGUAGGGAAUCUUCCGCAAUGGGCGAAAGCCUGACGGAGCAACGCCGCGUGAGUGAUGAAGGUCUUCGGAUCGUAAAACUCUGUUAUUAGGGAAGAACAUAUGUGUAAGUAACUGUGCACAUCUUGACGGUACCUAAUCAGAAAGCCACGGCUAACUACGUGCCAGCAGCCGCGGUAAUACGUAGGUGGCAAGCGUUAUCCGGAAUUAUUGGGCGUAAAGCGCGCGUAGGCGGUUUUUUAAGUCUGAUGUGAAAGCCCACGGCUCAACCGUGGAGGGUCAUUGGAAACUGGAAAACUUGAGUGCAGAAGAGGAAAGUGGAAUUCCAUGUGUAGCGGUGAAAUGCGCAGAGAUAUGGAGGAACACCAGUGGCGAAGGCGACUUUCUGGUCUGUAACUGACGCUGAUGUGCGAAAGCGUGGGGAUCAAACAGGAUUAGAUACCCUGGUAGUCCACGCCGUAAACGAUGAGUGCUAAGUGUUAGGGGGUUUCCGCCCCUUAGUGCUGCAGCUAACGUAUUAAGCACUCCGCCUGGGGAGUACGACCGCAAGGUUGAAACUCAAAGGAAUUGACGGGGACCCGCACAAGCGGUGGAGCAUGUGGUUUAAUUCGAAGCAACGCGAAGAACCUUACCAAAUCUUGACAUCCUUUGACAACUCUAGAGAUAGAGCCUUCCCCUUCGGGGGACAAAGUGACAGGUGGUGCAUGGUUGUCGUCAGCUCGUGUCGUGAGAUGUUGGGUUAAGCCCCGCAACGAGCGCAACCCUUAAGCUUAGUUGCCAUCAUUAAGUUGGGCACUCUAAGUUGACUGCCGGUGACAAACCGGAGGAAGGUGGGGAUGACGUCAAAUCAUCAUGCCCCUUAUGAUUUGGGCUACACACGUGCUACAAUGGACAAUACAAAGGGCAGCGAAACCGCGAGGUCAAGCAAAUCCCAUAAAGUUGUUCUCAGUUCGGAUUGUAGUCUGCAACUCGACUACAUGAAGCUGGAAUCGCUAGUAAUCGUAGAUCAGCAUGCUACGGUGAAUACGUUCCCGGGUCU